AGAGACAUUUAAUAAUUAUUCUAAUUUUAAAAAAGAAAUUAUAGCAACAAUAUAAUCAUUAAAAAAAAAUUAAUUGAUGUAAACAUAAGAAAUGGUUUUUACUAUAUAUAAAGCCUUUAAACCAGUUUAUAUUUGUUACAUGCAAAGGUGGGAAAAAAAUGCCUCAAACUCUCAAGUUUGCUUAUAUUGCAAUCCUUUUUGUUUCCCUUUUAAACGUUGUAGUCUUUGGUUUUAGUAAGCACAUUCUCAUUUUAUAUUUUGUUUAUUUUAUACACAAUCUUUCAGUUAUUUUAGUAAUAUUUUCUUAUUUUUAAUGUACAUUACAGAGUGUGAUACUCAUGAAGAUUGCUAUAAAAUAUUCCCAACUGUUAUUCCAGAAACACUGAAGUGCGUGGAAGGUUUUUGUUCCAUCAUACUUCUUAGUAGUGAUCUUCAGUAAGUCUUAUUUCUCUAUUAUUACCUCCUAGUUUUUUGGUCAUCAUAAUAUUUCACUCUUAUAAUUUCUCUUAUACUUUCAUAUCUUUCUCCAA
rnacentral:lncRNA from 1 species